rnacentral:rRNA from 1 species
UGGCGGACGGGUGAGUAACGCCUGAGAAUCGGCCCUCAGGUUGGGGACAACCAUUGGAAACGAUGGCUAAUACCGAAUAAGCCGAGAGGUGAAAGAUUAAUUGCCUGGGGAAGAGCUCGCGUCUGAUUAGCUAGUUGGUGGGGUAAAGGCCUACCAAGGCACCGAUCAGUAACUGGUCUGAGAGGAUGACCAGUCACACUGGGACUGAGACACGGCCCAGACUCCUACGGGAGGCAGCAGUGGGGAAUUUUCCGCAAUGGGCGCGAGCCUGACGGAGCAAUACCGCGUGGGGGAGGAAGGCUCUUGGGUCGUAAACCUCUUUUCUCAGGGAAGAACACAAUGACGGUACCUGAGGAAUCAGCAUCGGCUAACUCCGUGCCAGCAGCCGCGGUAAUACGGAGGAUGCAAGCGUUAUCCGGAAUGAUUGGGCGUAAAGCGUCCGCAGGUGGCCGUGUAAGUCUGCUGUCAAAGGUCAGGGCUUAACCCUGAACAGGCAGUGGAAACUACACAGCUAGAGUGCGGUGGGGGCAGAGGGAAUUCCCAGUGUAGCGGUGAAAUGCGUAGAGAUUGGGAAGAACACCGGUGGCGAAAGCGCUCUGCUAGGCCGCAACUGACACUCAUGGACGAAAGCUAGGGGAGCGAAUGGGAUUAGAUACCCCAGUAGUCCUAGCCGUAAACGAUGGAUACUAGGCGUAGCUCGUAUCGACCCGAGCUGUGCCGUAGCUAACGCGUUAAGUAUCCCGCCUGGGG